GACGAACGCUGGCGGCGUGCUUAACACAUGCAAGUCGAACAGAAAGGCCCUGCUUUUGUGGGGUGCUCGAGUGGCGAACGGGUGAGUAACAUGUGAGUAACCUGCCCUUGACUUUGGGAUAACUUCAGGAAACUGGGGCAAAUACCGGAUAGGAGCUCCUGCUGCAUGGUGGGGGUUGGAAAGUUUCGGCGGUUGGGGAUGGACUCGCGGCUUAUCAGCUUGUUGGUGGGGUAGUGGCUUACCAAGGCUUUGACGGGUAGCCGGCCUGAGAGGGUGACCGGCCACAUUGGGACUGAGAUACGACCCAGACUCCUACGGGGGGCAGCAGUGGGGAAUAUUGCACAAUGGGCGGAAGCCUGAUGCAGCAACGCCGCGUGCGGGAUGACGGCCUUCGGGUUGUAAACCGCUUUCGCCUGUGACGAAGUGUGAGUGACGGUGAUGGGUAAAGAAGCACCGGCUAACUACGUG
rnacentral:rRNA from 1 species